AGACUCGGCCCGGCCCUGCAUGGCCCAGGCGGGCGUAAAGAGCCUGCGGAGCUCCAGCCCAAAGAGCUGGCACCGUCCCGGAACGGCCCGCGCCGCGGGAGUGCUCCGAGCUGCGGCGCUGGGCUCUGGUGGGCGCCUCGCAGUCCCUGAGGCUGUCUGUUCACCUGGAUGCACCAGGCCUUCACCUGCCGUUUCCCUGCGAUCCCACAGAAUCUCAGGAGUUCAGUAAAUGCCAAGGGUUUUAGGAGCAUUUGUCGGUGUGACUCUUCAGAUGCUUGCACCAAGUCUUCGUUUCUUAGUUAAAGGCCUAGUAAGUAUAGGGAGCUUUCCCUGUACUUGGCUUCAGAUUUCGGAAAUGGAGAAAACAUGCACAAGAUGAUGGGAACUUUCACAACUGUCUUGAUUCAUUGUGACCACACUAGUGUUUCCAAACCGUACGUGAAAGCUUUACCCUUUGUCCUUUUGGUGGUGGUUGGUUGUUUCUGUGUUUUAUUACCGCUUCCUAAAUUCUAAGGAAAAAAUUCACAUCUUAGUGAUAGAUGGAAAUUGCUUAAAUAUCAGAAAGGAUCCAGAUCAAGCACUUUUCCAGUCAUGCUGUAAUACAAGGGUUAUAUAAAGAUAAUUUAUGUCUUUAGUAAAGGAAAAAGUAGGACACUGGCUAAGGCUGCCUCCCUCUCGUACAUUUCAACAUCGGAAACGGUCCUACCACAAAGCAAACUAAGCCUAAUGUAAUUAGACUGCAUCCCCAAAAUGUCACAGUGAAUUGACAAAGGCAAAAUAUUUGAGACAAGUUAUACAAGCAAACAUCAAAAAGAAGGCAGAAGACCUCACUUUCAGCUAAAGACCUUGCUAAUUCUAGAGCUGCCACCGUCUAAAUACUUAGCACCUACCCUGUGCCUAACCCUGUGAUGAGUGCUGAGAAGAGAGUGAUAGAGUGGAGACUGUAAAAGUCAAACAAGGCUAGGUAAGGAAGGCUUUGGGCAUCCAGCGGAAGAACUUGACUUGAGGAAUGAAGGCUGAACCAGGAUUCUAACCUAGAUGAGAAGACAGUGAAAAUAAAGGGAGACUUCUCUAUACAUACAGGAAUUUGACAACAGUUUGUGCCGCUUAUGGAUUUAAAGAACUGGCACCUUGAAUGGGAUUCUGAAUAGAAUUCGUACAGAUGGAAUGUAAAUAUCACCCUGAACUGAAUUGGCCCUCAUCCUGUCCAGCCAAUCUGGAAAUGUCUGGUGUGUCUCCUGGGAGCACUCCCCAAAGAACCUUCUACACACAGUUCUCCAACUCAAAGUCUGUUUUCAGGGAAUCCAAUUCAAGACAGGGAUAGUUGGAAGACACAACCGUUCCAUGGACUUUGAUGUUCUUGAUAUUCAUUCUUGGUAUUGGCAUCAUGAAUUGUGACACUAGGAGGCAUCUCCAAGUGACUUUGAAAUGAGAAGACAGGAACAAAGAGGUGUCAUACAUCCCUCACAGAUGGUCAGAAAUAUCUAAAGAGUUUUUGCCAAAGAGAUAGGGUCCUGAAUGGGCAGCAGGGUUAACAGAAAAAUGUGUAGUUAUUAAUGUUAAUGAGACAUCCUUUGCUACAAGAUGAUGGUGAGGUCUCAAGGAGAUCUAGGUUAUAUUUAUAAGGGAUCACUCCAAUUACUACAUGUGUGUCUCUUCUAAAAUUAGACUUUAUUGUGCUCUAUUAAAAUAGCUUCAUCUUUAGAAGAGAGUUUCUCAAAAUGUGAUUUGGGGACCACCUGCAUCAGGAACACUUGAGAAUUUGUUAAAGUUGCAGAUUCUAGAGCCCCAUCUCAUGCUUACUGAACCAGAAUCUCUGGGAAUCUGCAUGUUUAUUUAACAAGUUUUUCAAAGCUUGCAUGUUUAGCCAGCUUUUAAAGUAAAAGUUUUCAACUGCUUUAGUGGGUAAAGGGUUUCUUUUGCCGAUGAUGAAAAUCUUCUGGAAUUAGAUAGAGGUGAUGGCUUCACAACAUUGUGAAUAUAUUAAAAACCACUGAAAUGA
rnacentral:antisense_RNA from 1 species